CCAGGGGGCCGGGCAGCCGCGAGGAAACUCGAGGAAAGUCCGGGCUCCACGAAACGAGGGUGGCGGGUAACGCCCGCCGGGGGAAACCCCAGGGAAAGUGCCACAGAGAGUAUACCGCCGAUGGAGGUCGAGACCUCACAGGCAUGGGUGAAAGGGUGCGGUAAGAGCGCACCGGGGGGCUGGCGACAGUCUCCGCAUGGCAAACCCCACCCGGAGCAAGGCCAAAUAGGGGCGGCGCGCCAAUCUCUUCGGAGUGCGGCAGGGAUGUUUUGUCCCGUGAUCGCCCGGGUUGGCUGCUUGAGCGCGCAGGAGCAAUCCUCCGCCUAGAUGAAUGGCUGCCCCUGCGGCGCUGGUCGAAAGAUACCGGUUGCAGGACAGAACCCGGCUUACAGGCCCCCUGGCACC
rnacentral:RNase_P_RNA from 1 species